rnacentral:rRNA from 1 species
AUUGAACGCUGGCGGCAGGCCUAACACAUGCAAGUCGAACGAGUGGCGGACGGGUGAGUAAUGUAUGGGAAUCUACCUGAUGGAGGGGGAUAACUACUGGAAACUGUAGCUAAUACCGCGUACCAUAGGAUGAGCCCAGAUGGGAUUAGGGAGUUGGUGGGGUAAAGGCUCACCAAGGCGACGAUCCCUAGCUGGUCUGAGAGGAUGAACAGCCACACUGGAACUGAGACACGGCCCAGACUCCUACGGGAGGCGGAAGUGGGGAAUAUUGCACAAUGGGGGCAAGCCGGACGCAGCCAUGCCGCGUGUAUGAAGAAGGCCUGCGGGUUGUAAAGUUCUUUCAGUAGCGAGGCGUUAACUACAGAAGAAGCACCGGCUAACUCCGUGCCAGCCGCCGCGGUAAUUC